rnacentral:rRNA from 1 species
UCAUGUUGUUUAAUUCGAUGAUACGCGAAGAACCUUACCAGGUCUUGACAUCCCCCGCGAUGCUUUAGAGAUAAAGCGGAGGUAUUCGGGGAGACAGGUGGUGCAUGGUUGUCGUCAGCUCGUGUCGUGAGAUGUUGGGUUAAGUCCCGCAACGAGCGCAACCCCUAUUGCUAGUUACCAUCAUUAAGUUGGGGACUCUAGCGGGACUGCCAGUGAUAAACUGGAGGAAGGUGGGGAUGACGUCAAAUCAUCAUGCCCCUUAUGACCUGGGCUACAAACGUGAUACAAUGGCUGGAACAAAGGGAUGCGAAGCAGUGAUGUGGAGCGAAACCCAUAAAAACAGUCUCAGUUCGGAUUGAAGUCUGCAACUCGACUUCAUGAAGUCGGAAUCGCUAGUAAUCGCGGAUCAGAACGCCGCGGUGAAUACGUUCUCGGGGUUU